rnacentral:rRNA from 1 species
AUGCACUUUCUUUGCUGCCUUUCACUCUUCUUCCUCCUCUCUUCUUCUUCCUCCUCUCUUCCCCAUCGUCGGCCGCACACCAUUUCCCCCUGCUCACUGCUCGCCCGCCCGCGCCAUCUUCCUUGCAAACGCAAAUGCGCUGGCCUUCAUGAUUCCAGGACCUGGAAUCAUACCAGCCGAUGGUACCAUAUAACUGGAAUUAACCGAUGCAAGUCGAAGAAGGAUUGGCCGGUGCUGCCGACUGGCGUCAAGUUCGAUCCCACAGAUCAGGAGCUGAUCGAGCACCUUGAGGCCAAAGUGAGUGUUGAUAGUGCGAGAUAUCACCCUCUCAUCGAUUUGUUCAUACCAACCAUCAACAGCGAGCACGACAUAUGCUACACCCAUCCUGAGAAACUUCCAGGUAUCACACUGAGUGGCCUAAGCAAGCAUUUCUUCCAGCGUAAUUCCAGGACGUUCAAAAGGGGCACGUGGACGCGUCGCAAGAUACAGUCGGAGUGCGGCAUGCACGAGAUGUGGCAUAAGACCGGCAAUACCUUUCUGGUGAUGGUCAACCAUCAGCAAACGGGCAGCAAAAAGAUUCUGGUGCUGCACACCAAUAAGAACUUCAACUAG